UCAGCAACGGAUCUCUUGGCUCUCGCAUCGAUGAAGAACGCAGCGAAUUGCGAUAAGUAAUGUGAAUUGCAGAUUUUCAGUGAAUCAUCGAAUCUUUGAACGCACCUUGCGCUCCUUGGUAUUCYGAGGAGCAUGCCUGUUUGAGUGUCAUU
rnacentral:rRNA from 1 species